rnacentral:rRNA from 1 species
AGCGAACGCUGGCGGCAGGCUUAACACAUGCAAGUCGAGCGCCCCGCAAGGGGAGCGGCAGACGGGUGAGUAACGCGUGGGAUCGUACCCUUUGCUACGGAAUAGCUCCGGGAAACUGGAGUUAAUACCGUAUGUGCCCUACGGGGGAAAGAUUUAUCGGCAAAGGACCGGCCCGCGUUGGAUUAGCUAGUUGGUGGGGUAAUGGCCUACCAAGGCGACGAUCCAUAGCUGGUCUGAGAGGAUGAUCAGACACAUUGGGACUGAGACACGGCCCAAACUCCUACGGGAGGCAGCAGUGGGGAAUAUUGGACAAUGGGCGCAAGCCUGAUCCAGCCAUGCCGCGUGAGUGAUGAAGGCCCUAGGGUUGUAAAGCUCUUUCACCGAUGAAGAUAAUGACGGUAGUCGGAGAAGAAGCCCCGGCUAACUUCGUGCCAGCCGCCGCAGUAAGAC